CAUCAACAAGGACCAUGCCGCUGAUUAGCAAGAGGAAGGGGAGGGCAUUCUCUGUUUUGGAAGAAGAAAAGAGAAGAACAGAGGCUUUUCUCUUCUCUCUUUCCUCUCUUUUUCUUUAUUCCUGAGUAUAAUUAAUUAAUUAUACUUUUCUCUCUUGUCUUUAAUUGUUGGGUUAAGUGGUUAGUUGAUAGGGAACACGAGAUUGGUGGG
rnacentral:lncRNA from 1 species